AUGAAAAUGCUUCGGUUCCGGAGUCCGAGCAUCUCCUCCCUCACACAGGAGGUCCGGUGCACCGUUCGCCUGCUCGACGACUCCGAGAUCGCGUGCAGCAUCCAGAGAGACACUAAAGGACAGUUUCUCUUGGAUCAUGUGUGUAAUCACUACAGCUUGCUGGAGAAGGAUUACUUUGGCAUCAGAUAUGUGGAUCCAGAGAAGCAAAGGCAUUGGUUGGAUCCGAGCAAACCAGUCGUGAAACAGAUGAAAUGUCAGCAGCCGUACACUAUGUGCUUCAGGGUGAAGUUCUACCCUCAGGAGCCGAUCAAGAUCAAGGAAGAGCUGACAAGAUAUCUUCUGUACCUGCAGCUGAAGAGAGAUGUGUACCACGGUAGGCUGUUGUGUCCCUUCGCUGAUGCUGCGUAUCUUGGAGCCUGUAUAGUACAGGCUGAGCUUGGGGACUACGAUCCUGAGGAGCAUCCUGUAGACUACAUCAGUGACUUCAAGCUCUUCCCCAAACAGUCCCUCAAACUAGAGCGCAAGAUCAUGGAGAUCCACCAGAAUGAGCUGAGGGGACAGUGUCCUGCCCUCGCCGAGUUAAAUCUUCUUCAGAGGGCUCACACACUGGACACAUAUGGAGUCGACCCACAUCCCUGCAAGGAUUUCACAGGAUCCACAGCCUUUCUGGGAUUCACUGCAAGAGGGUUUGUGGUUUUCCAGGGAAAUAAGCGGAUCCACCUUUUAAAAUGGGCAGAUGUCAGCAAAUUUAAGUUUGAAGGGAAAACGUUUUAUGUGAUUGGAGUGCAAAGAGAGAAGAAACUGGUUCUGACGUUCCACACCUCCACACCAGCAGCCUGCAAGCACCUGUGGAAAUGUGCCGUGGAAAACCAGGCUUUUUACAAAUGUGCAAAGUCCAGUCAGAUCAAGACUGUGUCCAGCAGUAGUAUAUUUUUCAAGGGAAGCAGAUUUCGCUACAGUGGCCGGGUGGCUAAAGAAGUGAUUGAAGCCAGUUCAAAGAUUCAGAGAGAACCUCCUGUUGUACACAGGUCUCAGUUUGGUCAGAGCAGAAGCUUUACUUCGCUCAGUCAUAAACAGCUGAUAAUGAACAUGGAGCCUCUUCUACCAGCACUGAGCUCCAGCAGGGAAAACAGAGACUCCUCUGCAGACAACGGACUCUCAACUUUGAAAGACUCGGUUCAUCUGUCCCCACUGAAACCAUCGGUCACUCCUGAGGAGGUGGAGAUGGAGGAGAGGGAAAACAACAUUCUGGACAGACACGAAGACGAGGCAGCCAACAGGACGAGAGCGGAUGAGGAAAGGAGAGAGAUACACGUAGACCAAGAAGAUGAAGUGUGCGCGGCUCUCACCAUAUCUGACACAGCGUACAGCCCGUGUGCCAGCAUGGUGCCCACGCCGGUGGAGGAGAGCCAGGGCGACCUAGACCUGCUGUUCCAGAGUCCCGCCCGCCUGCUGAAGGAGCUGCACGCCGACCCAGAGAUGCAGCUGGAGCUCCAGGCCGAGAGGGAGAGGGAAGUGGCCAGAGUGGCAUUGGGUCAGUCGCUGUGCCUCCCGUCGAGUGGACGGCAGCAGAUGCAAGCCUGUCUGCGCAGUGCCGCCCGUCUGGUGGUGAUGGCCACGGGUCUCCUCAUGAUUCUGCUUCCGCUCCUGCUCGUGCUGCUGGAGUCGGACCUGGACGUCUCGUUCUUGCAUGACAUCCGACAGACGCCCGAGUUUGAGCAGUUCCACUACGAGUACUACUGCCCCCUGCGUCGCUGGUUCCUCUGCAAACUGGAACUCAUGAUGGAGCAGCUCUGGGGCGACUGAGGGUCAGUGGGAAAUACAGGGAACAGGGGGCAGGGAUAUAAUGGACAGGACAGUACAGAUUUUCAGAUGUCAUGAGCAGAUGUGAUAGCAGGUUGCAAGUACAUUUGAGAGGCUCUUAACUGACCACUUCAGUCACACAACAUACAGUACAUUAACACAAAAUACAUUUAAAGAAGAUGCACGAAGCCGCCACAAAUCCAAAUAUGUGUCAAUAUCAUUUUGUCGAAGUCAAAUGAUUGAACGUAUUCAAACAUUGAAAGUGCAGCUAAAUUUUAUUUACAAACCAUUUUCAUUUGGCCCCAAAAAGUUGUAAAUUGAAAACUAGAUUUAAUUUGCACAACUGACUUUUAUUAUUAUUUUAUUAUUAUUUAUUGGUAAUGCGGGCUGUUUUCUAUGGAAGCUUGUUUCUGCCACAAUAUAAAAUAAAUAAAAGGGUAAUUGCAACUUUUUACCUUUUCUGACUUAUUUCUCAUAAUUCUGAGUUCAUAUCUCAUAAUCUUGUCUUCAGAAUUAUGAGAUAUAAACUCAUAAAUUUGAGAAAUCAAUUCUUAAUUACAAGAUACAUACUCUGCAAUUUGAGGAAAAGAGUCUGAAUUGUGAGAUAUAAAAAUAUUUGAGGAAAAUAGUCUAAAUUAUGAGACAUAAACUCGCAAAUUUGAGGAAAAAAAUUUGAAUGGUGAGAUAUAAACCUGAAAAAAUUAGGAAAAUAAGCUAAAUUGUGAGAUAUAAAAAAAAUUGAGGAAAGAGUAUGAAUGGAAAGAUGUAAAAAAAAUUAGAGGAAAGAAUCUGUAGGGUGAGAAAAUUAGAAAUUUGAGGAAAGAGUCUGAAUUGUGAGAUAUAAACUCACAAAUUUGAGGAAAGAGUCUGAUCGGUGAGAUAUAAACUCACAAAUUUGAGGAAAGAGUCUGAUCGGUGAGAUAUAAACCUGCAAAUUUGAGUAAAGAGUCUGAAUUGUGAAAUAUAAACUGACAAAUUUGAGGAAAGAGUCUGAAUUGUGAUAUAUAAACUCACAAAUUUGAGGAAAGAGUCUGAAUUGUGAGAUAUAAACUCACAAAUUUGAGGAAAGAGUCUGAUCGGUGAGAUAUAAAACUGCAAAUUUGAGGAAAGAUUCUGAAUUGUGAAAUAUAAACUCACAAAUUUGAGGAAAGAGUCUGAAUUGUGAGAUAUAAACCUGCAAAUUUGAGGAAAGAGUCUGAAUUGUGAGAUAUAAACUCACAAA